rnacentral:tRNA from 1 species
GGAAGGUGCCAUGGCUCAGAGGCAGAACAUUUGCUUUAUGUGCAGAAGGUCCCAGGUUCAAUUUUCGGCACCUCCA